CCCUUCUAACCCCAACCCCAGCAGAUAGACACCCAGCUCCCGUUGACACAGCACCGUCUCCACCACAGAGCACCCAAACACGAGCAGUUAGUACGGCAACUGCAGUGCCCAAAUCACGGGGACCACCACUCCGAACCCGAAGUCAACGCUUAAAGGAGAAGAAGAAUUGUUCUCAGGUCAGGUUCCGUAGCUAUGGUUCAUACUAAUUUGCUCUUGCAUCACUGUAUUUACUGAUACCAACUAAUUUCAAAUUUGCAGGAUGCAAUUGAAACUCCAAUGGCGCAACAGGUAUGUUUUAAACCUGUUUCUUCAACGUGUUUGGUUGUUUGCUGUUGUAACUUGCUCUAUGUUGAUUUCAGUUUCAAUUGAAUAAACAGUUAUGUUCUCAUGCCAUGCACAUUACAAGUGAUGUUAUUGCCGUGUAGUUUCCCACACUUAUAUUCUGUCUAUCCUGCUUUGUCUUAAAUAGAUAUGAUUCGAACUAUAUCUAUCUUGAUUUGGCAACAUAAACUAGAAUGAUAUAGACCAUACAGUGACCAUACUACAUAGAUAUAUGUUUGUUUCAUGCUGUUAUCCUGUCCACCUUACUACUGAACUGGUUUACCAAAAUGAGUUUCAUAUACUACAUUGUAAACCGGAGAUGUGUUUGUUUGUUUCUCUUUUAGAACGCGGAUAAAAUAUUGGAGAAGAGUACCCU
rnacentral:lncRNA from 1 species